AGCCACAGCACAUCAUCCCAGAAAAACCAGUGGGGUCUUUGAGUCACAGGCAGCCCUCCCUGGAACAUAAAAACAUAAACAUAAAUAAAGGUCUCUCCUUUAUUGCCAUUAAUGGGAACAUUUCCUGGCACUGGUCAGAUGACAAACUCUUUUUCCCAGUUCCCUCAGCCAACUCAGUAACCAUGGCAACUGUCUCCAGUGUAAUGACAUCAUAUGGUUUCCUAGGCAACUGUUCCCAGUGCAAUGACGUCAUGUGGUCACCAUGGCAAUGCUCCAUGAGGCCAGGAAGAAAGUAUUUGAAGUGGGAAGAUAGGUCAGAAAGGACAAAAGAGGGCUCAGGGAAGAGCAGGAUGAAAGAUAAUGGAGGUCAGAGAUGCUGAAGCACAGCAUGGUCACAGGAAGUUUGAGUGUGGCUCAGGCGCUGAUUUAGUGGAGGGACUUUGGACAAUCCAGGAGAAACUGCCAGAAAUCUCCAGAGAGACACCAGGGGAAAUCACUCUCUACAGAAUAUACGAGUACUUUUUCUAAUACAAGGUACAUUUUCUAAUAUAUUUCCCUUCUCUGACUGAUUACCCAGGGCUCUGUCACAGCAGUGCCAAGAACCAGGUGUCACUGCCAUGCCUUACAGGGCUGGAGAAGAUUCCUUUGCCCUCUUCCUUCUGUUCUCUGUACUUGAAGACAUGAUAACAAUAACCUGGCCAGCUGACAAAUGAAAAUGGGUUUUCCUUUGACUGAAAGCUCCUUCAGCACCUCAUCAAGGUAGAAGAAUGUCCCUUCUUUUUAAUUUUCUAGAUCUUCUUCCAAUUCUAUUAUACUCUCAAAUGUUAGAGUUUGCUGAAGAUAAAUAUCCUUUCUGCAUUCAAUCCUGUUUAAUUCUGGACAGUUUCAGCCAGUA
rnacentral:lncRNA from 1 species